rnacentral:rRNA from 1 species
AAGGUCGAAGAGAGAAUUCAUUCGCGUUUCGAUUAAUGGAGCGAAAAGGUUUUAGUAAUAAGACGUGCACGUUUCGAUGUGUUGCGUCGACCGAUUCGUAUUUAAAACUAUUAUCGAACGCGUGCACUUUUCUCUUGGUAGGACGUCCCGAUCCGUUGGGUGUCGGUCUACGGUACAUGGGGGAGUUGAUUUUCUAUGCAUUUUUGUAUACGAAAGUGAACCCAUGUUAUCUGGCCGGCUCGCUCGACGGUAUACAAACGGUUUAAGGUCGCUUUUAAGCGUUCGAAUAAUGGCAAGCGCGUUAGAUGUUUGUCGACAAUCGGACCUAGUGCCGAUUUCGACCUCUAAUGACUGUUGGCUAUUAAAAUCUCGAACAGACCUAAUUAUUAAAUAACCGAUCAGCGGCGCUAUAGCUUUGGGUACUUUCAGGACCCGUCUUGAAACACGGACCAAGGAGUCUAGCAUAUACGCAAGUCAUUGGGAAUAACUAAUCCUACAGGCGUAAUGAAAGUAAAGAUUUUCCUUGUGAAGAUCAAGGGAAGAUGAGCGAUUUACCAUUAAAAGUAGWCGKUUCGCAUUCSCGGGGCGUCUCAUUCUCAUUACGAGAAGAGGCGCACCAAGAGCGUAUACGCUGGGACCCGAAAGAUNNNGAACUAUGCCUGGYCAGGACGAAGUCAGGGGAAACCCUGAUGGAGGUYCGUAGCGAUUCUGACGUGCUAAUCGAUCGUCGGAACUGGGUAUAGGGGCGAAUGACUAAUCGAACCAUC